CCGGCUGGGGCCCCCAGGGGAGUUCUCUUUUCUUUGUGAAGGGCAGGGCGCCCUGGAAUGGGUUCGCUCCGAGAGAGGAGCCCGAGCCUUGGAAAGCGUUG